GAUGAACGCUGGCGGCGUGCCUAAUACAUGCAAGUCGAGCGAAGCGGGGACGGGUGAGUAACACGUGGAUAACCUCAUAUAAGACUGGGAUAAGUUCGGGGAACCGGAGCUAAACCGGAUGCUAAUAGAUGGAACCGGGCUGCAUUAGCUAGUGGGUAAGGUAACGGCUUACCAAGGCAACGAUGCAUAGCCGACCUGAGAGGGUGAUCAGCCACACUGGAACUGAGACACGGUCCAGACUCCUACGGGAGGCAGCAGUAGGGAAUCUUCCACAAUGGGCGAAAGCCUGACCCAGCCACGCCGCGUGAGUGAUGAAGGUCUUCGGAUCGUAAACCUCUUUUAGUAGGGAAGCGGUACCUACUCAGAAAGCCACGGCUAACUUCGUGCCAGCAGCCGCGGUAAUUC
rnacentral:rRNA from 1 species